CGAUUAAGCCAUGCAAGUCAGGUCAGUAAUGGCCGGCGACAUGCUGAGUAACACGUCGAUAAUCUGCCCUGGAGUCAAGGAUACGCUCGGAAAACUGAGACGAAUACUUGAUAGGGAAGCGAUUCUGGAACGACCGCUUCCUUAAACUCGAGCUCCAGGAUGAGUCGGCGGCUGAUUAGGUUGUUGGCGGUGUAACGGACCACCAAGCCGAAGAUCAGUAGGGGCCUUGAAAGAGGUAGCCUCCAGAGGGACACUGAGAUACAGGUCCCAGCCCCACGGGGUGCAGCAGGCGCGAAAACUCUCCAAUGCGCGAAAGCGUGAGAGGGGAAUCCCAAGUGCUUAAGCAUUACGUCUUAGGCUUUUUUCGAUUGCAAAAAAAUCGGAGAAUAAGUGGUGGGCAAGACCGGUGCCAGCAGCCGCGGUAACCCCGGCGCCACAAGUGGCAACCGUGUAUUUGGCCUAAAGCGUCCGUAGCCGGUUCUGUGCAUCCCUUGUGAAAUUGUCCCGCUUAACGUCAGCGUGCAGGGGACACGGCAGAACUUGGAACUGGGAGGCGUCAGAGGUAUUGUUGGGGGAACGGUAAAAUGUUAUAAUCCCAGCAAGACCACCGAUGGCGAAGGCAUCUGACGAGAACAGCUUCGACGGUGAGGGACGAAAGCUAGGGGAGCAAACCGGAUUAGAUACCCGAGUAGUCCUAGCUGUAAACGCUGUGAGCUAGGUGUUGCGUAUUCUACAGGAAUGCGCAGUAUCGAAACGAAGGUGAUAAGCUCACCGCCUGGGAAGUACGGUCGCAAGACUGAAACUUAAAGGAAUUGGCGGGGGAGCACUACAAGGGGUGCGGCGUGCGGUUUAAUCUAACUCAACGCAGAACACCUUACUAGUGGCGACGGCAGGAUGAAGGUCAGUCUGAAGGGCUUACCUGACACGCCGAGAGGUAGUGCAUGGCCGACGUCAGCACGUGCCGUGAGGUGUCCAGUUAAGUCUGGCAACGAGCGAGACCUGUACCUGCAAUUGCGAACAGCCAACCUGUUGGGACUGAGCACAUUGCAGGGACCGCUCCGGAAACGGAGAGGAAGGUGCAGGCUACGUUAGGUCUGUAUGCUCCGAAUCCACUAGGCUACACGCGCGCAACAUUGGUACGGACAAUGGGAUGCAACGCCGAAAGGCGGAGCUAAGCCUCGAAACCGUAUCCUGGUCCAGAUUGAGGGUUGGAACUCACCCUCAUGACGGCGGAAUCCCUAGUAAUCAGGGUUCAUCAUACCCUGGUGAAUAUGUCCCUGCUCCUUGCACACACCGCCCGUCAAACCAACCGAGCAGGGUUUAGGUAAGGUCUUAUCUCCUUGAUAAGGCCGAAUCUAAGCUCAGUGAGGUGGGUUAAGUCGUCACAAGGUA
rnacentral:rRNA from 1 species